rnacentral:rRNA from 1 species
AUUGAACGCUGGCGGCAUGCUUUACACAUGCAAGUCGAACGGUAACAGGCCGCAAGGUGCUGACGAGUGGCGAACGGGUGAGUAAUGCAUCGGAACGUGCACAGUCGUGGGGGAUAACUACUCGAAAGAGUAGCUAAUACCUCAUACGAUCUAUGGAUGAAAGCGGGGGACCGUAAGGCCUCGCGCGAUUGGAGCGGCCGAUGUCAGAUUAGGUAGUUGGUGGGGUAAAGGCUCACCAAGCCAACGAUCUGUAGCUGGUCUGAGAGGACGACCAGCCACACUGGGACUGAGACACGGCCCAGACUCCUACGGGAGGCAGCAGUGGGGAAUUUUGGACAAUGGGCGCAAGCCUGAUCCAGCAAUGCCGCGUGCAGGAAGAAGGCCUUCGGGUUGUAAACUGCUUUUGUACGGAACGAAACGGCUCUGGUUAAUACCCGGGGCUAAUGACGGUACCGUAAGAAUAAGCACCGGCUAACUACGUG